rnacentral:rRNA from 1 species
CUUGGUUGAUCCUACCAGUACCAUAUGCUUGUCUCAAAGAUUAUGCCAUACAUGUCUAAGUAGGCAGGGCCGGUACAGUGAAACUGCGAAUGGCUCAUUAAAUCAGUUAUGGUUCUUUUGGUCGCUCGCUCCUCUCCUACUUGGAAAACUGUGGUAAUUCUAGAGCUAAUGCAUGCCGAAGGGUGCUGACCCCCUUCGCGGGGAAGAUGCCUGCAUUUAUCAGAUCAAAACCAACCCGGUCAGCCCCUCUCCGGCCCCUGCCUAGGGGUCGAGUGCCACCGGCUUUGGUGACUCUAGAUAGCCUCGGGCCAAUCGCAUGCCCCCCUGUGGCAGCAACGACCCAUUCGAACGUCUGCCCUAUCAACUUUCGAUGGUAGUCGCUGUGCCUACCAAGGUGACCACGGGUGAAGGAGAAUCAGGGUUCGAUUCUGGAGAGGGAGCCUGAGAAAUGGCUACCACAUUCAAGGAAGGCAGCAGGCAUGCAAAUUACCCACUCCUGACUCGAGGAGGUAGUGAUGAAACAUAACAAUACAGGACUCUUUCGAGGUCCUGUAAUUGGAAUGAGUCCACUUUAAAUCCUUUAACGAAGAUCCAUUGGAGGGCAAGUUUAGUGCCAGCAGCCGCGGUAAUUCCAGCUCCAAUAGCGUAUAUUAAAGUUGCUGCAGUUAAAAAGCUCCUAGUUGGAUCUUGGGAGCGGGCGGGCAGUCCGCCAUGAGGCGAGCCACUGCCCGUCCCCGCCCCUUGCCUCUUGGCGCCCCCUCGAUGCUCUUAGCUGAGUGUUCCGCGGCCCAAAGCGUUUACUUUGAAAAAAUUAGAGUGUUCAAAGCAGGUCCAAGCCGCCUGGAUACCGCAGCUAGGAAUAAUGGAAUAGGACCGCGGUUCUAUUUUGUUGGUUUAUGGAACUGAGGCCAUGAUUAAGAGGGACAGCUGGGGGCAUUUGUAUUGCACCGCUAGAGGUGAAAUUCUUGGACCGGCGCAGUUUGGACCAGAGUGAAAGCAUUUGCCAAGAAUGUUUUCAUUAAUCAAGAAUGAAAGUCGGAGGUUCGAAGACGAUCAGAUACCGUGGUAGUUCUGACCAUAAACGAUGCCGACUGGCAACGUGGCGGUGUUAUUCCCAUGACCCGCUGGGCAGCUUCCAAGAAACCAAAGUCUUUGGGUUUUUAGGUUCCGGGGGGAGUACGGUUGCAAAGCUGAAACUUAAAGGAAUUGGUGGAAGGGCACCACCAGGAGUGGAGCCUGCGGCUUAAUUUGACUCAACAUGGGAAAAAUCCCCCGGGCCGGACAGGGACAGGAUUGACAGAUUGAUAGCUGUUUCUCUGUUCCAUGGGUGGUGGUGCAUGGCCUUAGUUGGUGGAGUGAUUUGUCUGGUUAAUUCC